UACGUAGGUGGCAAGCGUUGUCCGGAAUUACUGGGCGUAAAGCGUGCGCAGGCGGUGAUGUAAGACAGGUGUGAAAUCCCCGGGCUUAACCUGGGAACUGCAUUUGUGACUGCAUCGCUGGAGUGCGGCAGAGGGGGAUGGAAUUCCGCGUGUAGCAGUGAAAUGCGUAGAUAUGCGGAGGAACACCGAUGGCGAAGGCAAUCCCCUGGGCCUGCACUGACGCUCAUGCACGAAAGCGUGGGGAGCAAACAGG
rnacentral:rRNA from 1 species